CCGUGCAGCCGGGGAGAUAGCGGUGCCCUAUACCUGCAAUCCGCUAUAGCAGGGGUGAUAUCUUGCCUCGGAUGAGUGUUUGUGAGGCUGCCUUUUAUAAGUGAUGUUGACGUUUGGGUCUUACGCAACAGGAACUUGCGAACUGUGUCAGGUCAGGAAUGAAGCAGCACUAAGCAAGAGCUCUUGUGUGCCGUAAGGCAACCUAGACCGAGUUAACUGUAGAAGUAACGCUUAUGUACGCCAUACAAAGCAAGAUGCACGG
rnacentral:SRP_RNA from 1 species